GUUGUUUCAAACCAUCCAUGGCUUGUAGGAGGGUGAUGUUUCAAACCAGAGACGAGUAAAACUGGUCUGAAGCUUUUUGAAAUGGAAACUGUUCUGUCUUUGGAGAUGAGGAAGCUGAAGAAGAAACUGGACCCAUCCUACAUUAGGAGCGAGAACAUUCUAGUUGCUCUCUUCGCCAACCGGGGUUAUGACGAGAAGCCAGAGGUUGCUCUGCCAAGUGGACUAAACGAUAAAGUGACUGGGACAGAGAAUGCAUUAAAAAAGAAGAUCCAGGAAUCCAAGAGCGGACGCUUUUUGGAGAAGGACAAACGCCUUCUGGAAGAGCUGAAGAGCCUGCACUGUGACCCACACCCAUUCUGCACUGUUCUGCCUUCAGAGUCAGACUUUACGUUUUGGAAGAUUCUCAUGCAAGGCCCUCCUGAUACACCUUAUGAGGAUGGAGUCUUUGAGCUGUACUGUCAGUUUGGAGCUGACUACCCCGUCAAACCUCCACUUGUGCGCUUUGUCACACCUGUGUACCACUGCAACAUAAACAGUGUGGGUCGUAUCUGCCACAACAUAUUUGACCGCAGCUACAACGCUCACAUAACCAUGAGAGAGAUCUUGGAUGCUGUAUAUGGACUGCUCAUCGUUCCUGAACCCCAAGAUCCACUGGACAGUAUUUUGGCAGAGGAAUACCUGACCAGCAGAAACAAGUAUGAAGAAGAGGCCAAGAAGAACACAGAGGAAGUUGCAGGCCAAUCAUUGGAUGACAUGGAGAAGGGGUGGGGAAAAGUGUGACACCACUCCAGCACCGGAGGACGGAAGUUGACCGAUCCUAAGUAAAACACCAACGACCUCAUCAAAAGGCUGUGAGCAUGCAACAGAGAGGACAGCAGUCCUUUCCCUAAGAUGAUCUGUCCUUGUCAAAAGGUUGAAGGAGAAAAAACAACCAACGGUGUUCUGUCAUUCACAUGCAACACAUCAGACACUAUCAGUACAGUUCUCUGACUGUUGUUCAGGGAGCACCAGUGAUACAGUCACCAUCAUGAUAAAAUCUCAUGUCAUAUUGCAACUCAAAGUUAUUGCAUUCUGUUCUGUAUAAAACAAUAAACUGCGGCUAC